GGGUAAUUAGUCCAAACAAGACAUUUGAUUUCGGCUCAAAAGAUUGUGGUUCGACCCCACCGUUGCCUU
rnacentral:tRNA from 1 species